AGUGAAUAACUUCAGUUUUUUAAAUAAUUUAUUAGUUUUUUAACGACUGAUAGAUCGAGAAGCCGGUGUCAGCUGACAGUUCGAUGACUUCGCUCGAGAACUUUCGCGACACUUCGGUGUAUAUAAAUGUUUUUAUUUUGGAAAUAAUUUUAGACAGUUGUAUAAUUGAGAUUUAUCAAUGUUUUGAUUUCUACAAAUAGUACCAAAAUAUUUCUCGCAUAAACUAUUUUGGCGGUUAUUUAUCUACAUAUUUGUUGCCAAGGUGAAGUUUACGCCUAUCUGUAUUUGGAUCCAGAACAGAAUAGGAAAGAAAAUACCAGAAAAGUCUAUCUGUUUCUAGGUUACAGAAGAGCGAGUGCGAUAGACGACUACUACUACUACCUAUUACCCUUGUUUACGAGUUACGAGCCUCGAAAGCUCGAGAUUGGUCGAGGAUAUGAGCUAACUGGUCGUUGGAGAAUAGAACGAAAGUGCAAGUGGAAUCAGCCAAAAUAAAAGCAAGAGUGAGAGAGAGGUGAAUUUCAGCUGAAAAAUUUUAUAGGUAUUGAUUGCAAAUAAAAUACUGCGAAUAAUUUUUUCUGUUUAUGAAACCGGAGAGCUCUCGAAUGUUCGUUGGAAGUCGGUUACUUACAAGAUUAGGGGACUGAAGAGAAGAAAGGAAGAAAUUCGACAGUUCAUUAUACUGUUUAUAUAAUUUAUCUUCUGUUAUGCUUUAUAUAAUAAUAACAAACGUCAGCUGUUUGCUGGAAGAAAAAAAUAAAAUUCAACCGUCUGUAUAUAUACAAUAGGGUUCUAGUAAGUAUAUAAAUA